AAAGUGCUGGCUGGGCUCAAGCUUUGGCUUAAGGACCCCUGGAGAAUGUUCUGGAAUGCAGUGGACUGAGGAGGAAGGAGUUUGAAGGAACAACUGCCAUUUCCUGUCCUAAGCUAGGAGAGGAAGAACUACUCCUGGGGGCUUUCCUACCUCAAGCCUUUUGUGGACAAAGGGAAACCUUCAAACCAUUUCCUGAGGUUUCUGUUCAACUGGAGAACAAUUUGAAGAGGAUCUAGUUAUCCCUGUUGUGUUUACCAACUUGCCUGGAGGUUUUACUUUGAGAUCCUAUCUGUUGGACCCUGAGGUUCUACCUCAGGAUCAGACCUAGAUUGGGAGGACUCAGCCGUCUUGGGUCCACUCUUAGAAGAUUUUGGAGACAACUUUUGGUAGAAAUGACUGAACCAGAGUCUGAGGAUUAUAGCCAGGUGAGAUCACAUCCAGAAUAUUGUGCACAGUGCUGGAACUUAACAUUUUUGAAGGGACAGUGAGCAAAUGGAGCAUAUCCAAGGAUGGUGAUAAGGACAAUAAAGGAACCUGAUAACAGAAUUGGAGAGAAAAGAAGAGGAGAGGAAGAAAUCAUGUUAAAACUUUGUGUGCAAGAGUGUGUGUGAGAAAAGCUGACAUUUCUAUUUAACAAGAAAUUCAACAGAGGUCUAUCCAGCAUCACAAAUAGGAGCCAAGUGACCCUCUGGAGAAAAUGAAAGUAUGAAAGAAGACUUUGGAGGAGAAAGAGCUUCUUUGGGAGUUUAAGGCACAACAUAAUGGCUAUUGGCAAAGAUGGAGGAAAAUUUAAGCUAGUUUUGAUUGGCCAGAGUUUCAGGGGUAUGGUGCAGCACACUGGCCAGCUCAGGAUCCUGCAUGGGAUUAUAACAGACCGGAGGACUGGUUGCAAUUAAAUCAUUGUAGGGAGGCCACUAUAACAGAUAUGUGAGAAUGUUCCAAGGAUAUGGAAGCAUGGUCAAAAUUUGAAAGCCUUAGACAAUUCGAUGCUGGGACACCCUCACAAUUCAUGUAUAAGCUCAUUCAGCUUGGCGUUUGGUACCUAGACCUUGAUAUUUCUAAAGAUAUUGUCUGAAGACAAAGAUAUUAAGCAAAUAAAGAAACAUUUUAUCAACAGUU